rnacentral:tRNA from 1 species
AGGGAUGUAGCUGAGUGCACAGUGCCUGCCUGGCAAGCACAAGGUCCUGAGUUCAAUUCCCAGUACCCCCU